UUGUCAAAGUCAGCUAACUAUGAAAUUUUCCAAGCUUGAAAUGUGAGGAAAUGAGGGUGGUGAGAUUAUAAAAUCCCAAUGAGUAAACAGACACCAUCUAAACUAUCUAAAGGCGAGUAAAUGGAGACGAAUUAAAAUAAGUCAUCAUACUAUAAUUUCAUUACCUUUCAACUCAUUUCAACCAAAUAAACAAAUAGGCUUAUGAUUUCCUGAAAAGCAUGACUCGUGC
rnacentral:lncRNA from 1 species